GACGAACGCUGGCGGCGUGCCUAAUACAUGCAAGUAGAACGCUGAAGGAAGGAGCUUGCUCUUUCCGGAUGAGUUGCGAACGGGUGAGUAACGCGUAGGUAACCUGCCUGGUAGCGGGGGAUAACUAUUGGAAACGAUAGCUAAUACCGCAUAACAGUAGAUAUCGCAUGAUAGCUGCUUAAAAGGUGCAAUUGCACCACUACCAGAUGGACCUGCGUUGUAUUAGCUAGUUGGUGAGGUAACGGCUCACCAAGGCCACGAUACAUAGCCGACCUGAGAGGGUGAUCGGCCACACUGGGACUGAGACACGGCCCAGACUCCUACGGGAGGCAGCAGUAGGGAAUCUUCGGCAAUGGACGGAAGUCUGACCGAGCAACGCCGCGUGAGUGAAGAAGGUUUUCGGAUCGUAAAGCUCUGUUGUAAGAGAAGAACGAGUGUGAGAGUGGAAAGUUCACACUGUGACGGUAUCUUACCAGAAAGG
rnacentral:rRNA from 1 species